AGCCAUUGAAAUAGUUUUAUAUUAAAGUGCGAAAGUCGCGUUUGUGGAAUUCUAGUCAAUGUGCGGCUGAUCUCUCUCUCUCUCUUAUGUCUCAACUUCAAAUAUUAAUUAAACGACUAAGAAAAUAUAAAAAAUGCUUUUAAAUUGCUGAGCCGCUGCUUUAAACUUUGAACACACAGCUCAGCCGCAAUUGCUACGGAUUUGUUCAACUCUCAAAUUAUACAAGUUCCCAGCAUGGUGUCCGAGGAGAACUGGAACAGCGACACCAUGUCCGACACGGACAUGAUUGACUCCAAGAACGAUGUUUGCGGCGGCGCCAGCAGCAGCAGCGGCAGCUCCAUAUCGCCGCGCACGCCGCCGAAUUGCGCGCGUUGCCGCAAUCAUGGACUGAAGAUUACGCUGAAGGGUCACAAGCGCUACUGCAAGUACCGCUAUUGCACCUGCGAAAAGUGUCGCCUCACAGCGGAUCGGCAGCGUGUGAUGGCGCUGCAGACGGCGCUGCGUCGCGCCCAGGCGCAGGAUGAGCAGCGCUCGUUGCACAUACACGAGGUGCCGCCGCCGGCGGGCUCCACCACAGCGCUGCUUGGCCAUCAUAGUCAUCAUCUGCCGGUGCAUGCUCACGCCCACUCCCAUGCGCACACACAUCACGCCGGCCACGCCCAUCACGGGCACUUGCUGCACCAGCAAGUGGCAGCCGCCGCCGCCUCAGCAGUGCCGCCGCCGCAGUCGCAGCCGCAGACGCAUCUCGCUCACAAUGGCAUCGCUGCCAGCUUGCAGGCUCACGCUCAUCCACAUGCGCAUAUGCAUCAUGCCCACAUGGCUGCUGCAGCGGCUCACCAUCAUCAUCACAGCAACCAGCAGCAGCAGCAGCAACAUCAACAGCAACAGCAGCAGCAGCAGCAACAUCAACAGCAGCAGCAGCCACAUCAGCAAGCAUCCUUGAGAUCUCCUUCGCACAGCGAUCAUGGCGCCACCAGCAGCUCGGGCAAUGGCGGCGGCGGCGGCGCCAGCAGCAGCAAUGCAAACGCUGUCGGCAGCAGAGCCAACAGCGGCGGCAGCAGCAGCAGCGGCGGCGGCGGCAUUAGCGUCAUAACCAGCGCUGAGCAUCAUCACAAUCACAAUAAUAUGUCCACGGUGCCAACGCCCGCGCAGUCCUUGGAAGGUUCCUGUGACUCGUCAUCGCCAUCGCCAUCAUCUACUUCCGGCAAUGCCAUUUUGGCCAUGUCCGUCUCCAGCACACGCAAAAAUUUGCCACUAGGCCAAGAUGUUUUACUAGACUAUUGCCAAAAGCUAUUAGAAAAAUUUCGUUAUCCCUGGGAGCUAAUGCCACUCAUGUAUGUGAUAUUAAAAGAUGCUGGCGCCGACAUUGAUGAGGCCACACGUCGCAUUGAAGAGGCGUUUCGUAUUUUGGCGCCAUUGUAUUAUUACUAUCCGCCUAUAGCGCCCAUAUACUUGACCUAUCCAAGCAUCGAGCGCUUUAACCAGUUCACCCAAAUGCCGUUGCCGCUGAUACGGCCGCCCACGCCCGAGCUGCCGUCCAGCCGCUCACCGCCCAGUCCCAGCUCUGCCACAGACGCAACCGUAAAUCUAAUCAAGAAGCACACACGGCCUGGCCACAGCAACGCCGCCUCACCCACAUCCACAUCGACACCGCUGUCAGCAUUGGCCAUGCCGCCCAUUUCCAAUGCCGUCGCCGCCGUCGCUCGACAGCGCUCACGCUCGGAGACGCCGCCAACACCGCCGUCGCCGCCGCCAGCGCACAGCAGCAGCAAUGUUAUCAGCACAUUUAAUGCCACAGCCGCCGCUGCAGCCACGUAGCAGUAUCAGUAUCGCAAUGUUGCCGCCGCCGCAGCAGCAGCAGCGGCAGCCGCUGUGCUCUUUGUCGAUAAUUAAAUGCAUACAAAAAUUUCAACACCAAAUACCAAGCCAGGCCUGCUGGCUGCCUAACAACUUUAGUAGAACUGGAACCUCUCGCGGCUAAGCAAGUAACUAAUUACUAAUUACUAAUUGCAACAAAUUUAAAUUUAAAUAAAUUGUUUUCACCUAAAGUUAACGCAUAUUCAAAUUGAUCUCAACAAAACGAAAGCAAAUAUAUAAACUUGUUUCAAAAUGUGCACAGGCGAAAAUCGAACAUUACUAGUAGUAACUCCUUUUAAUGCAUUUUUCAGCAAAUACAAUUGAAGAAUAAUCGAAUUAAUUGAAAGUAAUGCAACUCCGAAUCUUAUCAUGAUCUGCACAUACAUAUGUAAUACUAUAUAGUACGAUAUCUAGUCCUAAGCUUGAGCACUAUUUAUUGCUAAACAUUGUACAGCUUAACUAACCAAUUAGAGACAACAAUUACUUUCAAUAUGCACUUUAAACAUAAACAUGAGAUUAUAUCAGCUUGAAAAUAAAAAAACAAACAAACAAACAUUAAAUGAAUAUGGUAUACAUAUGUAUGGAGAGCUUUGUUAACUUUGUUCAUAAAUUUCUUUUUCAAAUACAACAUUUCCUUCGGCUGUGCGCUGUCAUGUUUGCAGCAUGCAGUUUUAUUAUAAUCAUAUGUAUGUAUAUAUAUUAUAUUUAUAUUAUUUUCUCUUGAUGUGCGCGACAGAAGCGCCCACUACGACUUAUAUUCAAAUUUUGUAAUUUUAAGUUUUUACAUUAUAUAUUUCAUUUUGUAUUUUAAUUUUUCGUUUUUCGAAUUGUGUGUUAGGAAUGGACAGGAACCAAAAAUGUUAUGCUAUUCAAAUGUUAGUUGAAUUCUUUUGUAUUUGCUUAAGCAGAAUUGAAAAUAAAACAAUUAAACUGUAGCUCAAACAUUUAACAUUUCA